UUUUGUAGUUAAGGUUAGAAAUUAUUAAAAAGUGAAAAAGAGUACAUACCAUGUUCUAAUUUAGCGCCCCGAUCCUACAUACACAUACAACAUUGUAUUCAUUUUAUGAUUAGAAAUUUUAAAAUUACGUAAGAAAUAUACGCACUGUGGCUUUUUUAUAGCUGAGCAACAUUUAUUCGCUAGGACCUAUACACUAACUCGAAGAAGUCAGUAAGCGACUGAUAUGAAAAAAAAAAAAAACUGAAAUAUAUUCAAUUAAAAAACCGACUUUUCUGCUUAGCGUCCUUUGGGACUGGAAAAUCUGAUGAAUCAGUACUUCAACAUAAUUUGAGAAUAAAAAAACCUGCUCUAAGCAAAAUUAAUUCAAGCGAAAUUUUUUACAUUUACUUCCGGAACUUAUUCAGCGCGUUCGGAGAAAAAUCAUGUCACCUUUUAGACAACGUAAUUAUUUUUCACAUCCGCUUAUGUCACAUGGUCGGCAUUUUUGUCGACUAAUUAACAUUCACGGUUGAACCGGGCAAAGCUUAUCGCAAAAUUCGGUUGCACGAGGGAAUUUUCGUGUCGAAUUAAUUUUACCAAACGAAUUUAGAUUACAUUAAUAAUUCCGUGUAUUGUGUGACAUUUUAGUAUCGUUUUGCACAAAUAUAAUACGAGUAAUAGUGGUUUUAAUAAUUAACUUUCAUGAUAUCCUCUAUGAAUAAUGUUUAAAUACAUAAGUAAAUAAAUAAUGAGAGAUACUUCCUCAACUACCCUGC